CAUGGUCCUCCACACCUGGGCAGACUUACUGCCGUAGCUGUAAUGAUACUUCUUUGCCGUGUGGGAGAGCUGUGGCCCCCCGCUGGAGCCAGCAUGCCCACAGGUCUGGUCAAACGACCACCUGUCGACCAGGAACAUACAAAGACUCAAGGGAAGAGUUAGAAUGUGUGGUCUGUCCAAUAGGUCAUUACUGUGUGGGUGGUGUAGCUGUACCCUGUCCUGCAGGGACUUAUGGUCCAAAAGAAGGUCUGCAGAGACUGAGAGACUGCACAAUCUGUCCUGCAGGGUUUUACUGUCUGGAAGGAAGCUCACUGAGACCCACCUCCCAGUUCCUGUGCCCACAGGGCUAUUACUGUGAAGAGGGCACUGCCACCCAUCAUGGGUCACCUUGCCCUGCUGGUACAGCGGGGGAACAACUGGGUCAGACAAGUAGGGCAGCCUGCAAGAGAUGUAGAGAAGGACGCUUCUGUCCUGCAGGCUCAUCGGGGCCUGGCUUGCCCUGUGCUCGGGGGAGAUACUGUCCUGCUGGCACCCUAGAAGAAGUGAUAUGUCCUCGAGGCACAUUCACCCCUCAUCA